CUAACACGAAUGUGCUAUGUUGAUCUAUGAUGAAGUCAUUAUGAGGGGCCUCCACCAUGACCAUUGAUUCUGCCAUCUCUAUACAAACCAAAAAACUUAGACUACGGGGGAUACACAUGCAUCCCCCCAAGCAUUGCGCUUAAGAUAGAGUACUCCUCACCUAGUCCAAGAAAAACCCACAAACCCUAUACCCCAGUCGCACAGAGAGGCAUGUUACCCUGUGAGUGGGCUGGUGCCAUAAACUUAUGUUUUUUGGUACGUGGGGCAGGUGAGAGGUUUUUUCUCUAGCUAGCCAAUUCGUCCAUGCACAAGGGUGUCACUGGAAGUGCUCAACCAGCUGGUCUAGAAUUCGUUGGCCUCUGUACAAAAAAAAACAAAAAUGGAUGAAGCAGGGAGAGAAAAAUAGCCGAUGGCCG
rnacentral:lncRNA from 1 species